rnacentral:lncRNA from 1 species
AUGCGAUCAAGGGCACGCUGGAACCCCGAUCUGCACUUCCGGGCCCGACCGGCCUCGGGUUUGCAGAGCAGCGCAGGUGCCCCCGGCAGGCCCCAGCCCCCCGCCCCCCACCGAGCGCCCCGACUCCUCCCCGGGGAAGGGGACCCCGGAGUCCCAGCCAGCGAGGGAACGAGUACCCGGAGGCCACCCCCUCCCCCUCCCCCACCCCCGACCCGGCUCACACGCAGCCGCCUCCGCGGUCUCGGGUCUCGGCUCCCGGCCCCCCGGCGGCCCCCCGGCCCGCCCCGCCCCGCGGGCCCCCUCGGGCCUCGGCAGUCGGGGCGGCCCGGCCCGGCGCCCGUCCCUCCCGCCCGCCCACGCGGCCCCGGAGCCCCGCCGGGAGGCCGCCUCCGCCCGGGACGGCGGGCCGCGGAGGGCGGAGGGCGGGGGGCGGGGAGCGGGGGGCGGCGCGCACCUCGCCCCGGCCCCGCCACCACCGCCACCGCCGCCGCCGCCGCCGCCGCCGCCCGCCCGGCCCAGGAAAGUAGGCCCAGCCCCGCGGAGGGGCCGCCGCGCCGCGCCGGUAUCAUUCCGCCCGCGCCCUGCGGCCCCCAGGCGGGCGGCGGCGGCGGCGGUGGCUGCGGACACCCGCCCGGCGCCCGCCCCCGCCCCCGCCCCGGCCCCGGCCCGGCCCCGGCCCCCGCCGCCCCCGGCCCGCCGCCCCCGGCCCGGCCCGCUCCCGGCGCCCCUCGCGCCGCAUCCGGGGACUAUAUUCGCGCGGAGCGGCACAGCGCGGCCGGGCCGGAGCCGCUUACCGGAGUCGCCGCGCGCCUUGCUCUCCCUGGGCUUCGGGGGGCGGCCCCGCGGCAUCGGCGGCGGCGGCGGCGGCGGCGGCGGCCCACCCCUCGGCCGCACACACACUCACACAUACACCCGCGGAGCGCGCACGCGCGGGGACCGGCCUCGGGGGCGAGGCGCGCGCCCGGCCGAGCGGCGGAGGCGGGCGGAGCGGCCCCGGGGCGCGCGGGCGGCCGCCGAGCCGGGUCUGAGCGCCCGCGGGCCUCACGGGGGGAAGGCGCCCGGGCGAGCGGACGCGAGGGCUCGACCCGCGCCAACUUCGGCGGGUUCCAUGGCCCGGCGGGCCGCGUUGGGGGCGUUGGGCGCGGGCGCGCGGUGGGGGCGGGGAGCGGCGCCGUGCGCAUGCGCGUUCCGCCGGUCGGGCCCGGUGCGGAGCGCGAGCGGGCGGUGGUCGCCUGGGUCCCCCUCGGCCCCGAUGGGCUGAGCGGGGCGGGCCGGGGUCACCUGGGCCCCCCCUCGGCCCCGAUGGGCUGA